GUGACAGAAGAGAGUGAGCACACAUGGUUUUUUUCUUGCAUGAAGGUCGUCUGUGCUCGAAGCUCUGUGUGCUCGCUCUCUAUCUGUCAC
rfam:Macleaya cordata isolate BLH2017 scaffold209, whole genome shotgun sequence.